UACGUAGGGACCAAGCGUUGUCCGGAAUCAUUGGGCGUAAAGCGCGUGUAGGCGGCUCGGUAAGUCCGCUCUGAAAGUCCAGGGCUCAACCCUGGGAUGCGGGUGGAUACUGCCGAGCUCGAGUCCGGAAGAGGCGAGUGGAAUUCCUGGUGUAGCGGUGAAAUGCGCAGAUAUCAGGAGGAACACCAAUGGCGAAGGCAGCUCGCUGGGACGUGACUGACGCUGAGACGCGAAAGCGUGGGGAGCAAACAGG
rnacentral:rRNA from 1 species